rnacentral:rRNA from 1 species
UACGUAGGUGGCAAGCGUUGUCCGGAUUUACUGGGCGUAAAGAGCGCGCAGGCGGCCAAGUCAGUCGAAUGUGAAAGCCCCCGGCUUAACUGGGGAGGGUCAUUCGAUACUGCUUGGCUCGAAGACAGGAGAGGGAAGCGGAAUUCCCGGUGUGGUGGUGAAAUGCGUAGAUAUCGGGAGGAACACCAGUGGCGAAGGCGGCUUUCUGGCCUGUUCUUGACGCUGAGGCGCGAAAGCUAGGGGAGCAAACGGG